CACCGACAUCAGCGAUUCGUUCUGCGAACCGUGGCCAACCGCCAGAUAAGAGUGCAUACCCAGCUCUUUCAUCUGCUGCUCGCCAAUUACGCGGGUUACCACGUUCUUGCUGUAGCUGUCUGCCAGCUGACGCGCCUGCGAUGCCAGGUACGCGGCGUUACAGAUGUUUGGCGGCAUGUUGCCAAGGUCUUUUGC
rnacentral:antisense_RNA from 1 species